rnacentral:misc_RNA from 1 species
UUCUACAAUUUUUAUUCAAAAUGACGUACAUCAGCACCCAAUAAAUUAAUAAUUUGUCAAAUAAAGCAAGAUAUUACAUUUUCAAAAUUUUGUUAUUUUACUUUCUUUUAUAGAGAACCUUUUUGCUUAAUGUGUAUUAAUUAAAAUUAAAUAUCUGUAUACCUACUUGUAUUCAAAAGCAACAACAAAACAAAAAUGACUUGUAUGAGAUCAUGCUUUUUGCGGUUAUCAUACAGUAAAAUGGAUUAUAUUCUAUCUGCAUUUUAUUCGUCCCAACCAAAGCAAGCAAAAGAGAAGUUAUUAUGGAGAAUUGUGAAUGUUGCUAUUAUUGGAGCUCCAAACUCUGGAAAAAGUACGUUAAUUAAUAAUAUUGUUGAAAGAAAGAUAUGUGCUGCAUCUAGCAAAGUACACACAACCACCAAAUUGGCUAGAGCCAUGUGUAUUGAAAACAAUACACAGAUAAUAUUCUUGGAUACACCUGGAGUGGUUACAGAAAAAGAGCAAAUGAAAUACAAAUUACCCACAUCAAUGGUUGGAGCAUACCAGAAGAGCCUUAAUUGUGCAGAUGUUAUUGGGGUUGUCCAUGAUGUGUCCAAUUCUUACACAAAAGACAGUCUUCAUCGUGAAGUAACCAGCAUGUUAAAAGCUGCUAGUAAUGUUCCUAGCUUCUUAAUUUUAAACAAGGUUGAUAAAUUAAAAUCAAAGAGGCAAUUAUUAGCUUCAAUAAGAAACUUGACAAAUGGUUGUAUCGCUGGUAAACCUAUACCUGGUACAGAGAAAAAUAGUAAGAAUAAAAAAAUUGAAAGGGGAUAUGAUAAUUUUUCUGAUGUAUUUUUAGUGUCUGCCUUGAAUGGAGAUGGUGUUAAAGAGAUAAAGAAAAGAUCGGGGAGGCCGCAUGCUGUUAGAACUACAAAGGCUGUUAAUGCUGUUAAAGCUAGAAUUCAUCGAAAUCCCACUAGGAAACAAAAAAUCUUAUUGCGAGAAUUGAAGAUUCCUGCUAGGACUCUGUCGCGUAUUAUAAAACAAGACCAGAAGUUCGGUGCUUAUCGUCGAUGUACAGGACAUGCUCUAAAUUAAUCUACAAUAAAGAGAGUGGAUCAAACAAAACGCCUUCUGUCGCGAUAAGCAGGGGAAAGCCACAGAAAUAUCCUCUUUAUCGAUGAAAAAAUUCUCACGAUUGAUGAACAUUACCUGCAAUAAGUAAAAUGAUAGUAUACGCUCACAGUUCUAAAGAAGCUGCUCAAGUGGUCGGAAAGGUACAAUGUGGUCAUUAUCUUGGGUCAGUUAUGGUUUGGUGUGGCAUGUCUUUUCAAGGAAUACCUUAUAGGAAAUGCAAAAUCAGCUACCUUACAAUAUUCGCCAAUGGAUUGGACGGACCAGACCCCGGAGUCGCUCAUAGAAGAAGC